rnacentral:lncRNA from 1 species
UUACCGUUUCAGGGCUUCCGUUUCCAGUGAUUGUUUUUCCGUUAAAACGAACAAGUUGCUAAGGGCCAAUGUCAAUGUUACUAAGUGAAGUCUGGUGGUCUUUGUCCGUUGUUUUCUUAUCCGUUGUUUAUCAUUUGUAAAUGUAACUGUUAUAUUCGUAUUUAUCUCGUCAUUGGCGACAUUUUGGUAUAUAAUUUACGAAGCUUUGUGGAUCAUUUCAUGUUUUUAUUGAUAUUUUGGAAAUUGUAGCGUAUAAAAGGC